AAGAGCAUGCUCCGCCCAGCCAGCGCCCAGCGUCGCCCAAUCAGCAGUGCCUGCCGUCCAAUCCCGCCCCCCCUGCGCCUGGCCUGCCCGGUCGGCGCUGGCCCCGCCGCGGCGUGCUUCCGGGGUCCCCGAGGGCCGCGGGUGCCUCUGCGUGGCAGGCCCCAGGCGGGCGGGCGGCGUCCCGAGUCGCCGGCCCGGAGACGUGGUUCCCAGCGCGGGGUGCAGGUCUCGGUGUUGGACAGACCCAGGAGGAAAGGAUGGUGCGAAGCGUAGCUCAGACCCGAAUCCCGACCUCGACUCCGCCGCGAUCUCCGCAGUCGCGGCCACGGCCGCCCGCGGCUCAGACGUGGGCUGCGGCCCGGUCGCCGGCCGCCAGAUGAGGUGAAUCAGAGCUGACCGUUUCACCGGAGCCGAGCGGAGACGAUCGCCCCCGGGCAGAGCCCGACCCACAAGCCGAGCUAGGGCAACUUCCAAACCCCAAGACGAGACAGUCCAAAAGGGAAAACCUGGGUCUCGCUCGCGCUGCGCCUCACGGGCCCACGCCCGGACGUGGCCGGCACAGACGUCACAGCCGGGAGGAAAUGACGAAGCCGCGCUCCCUUCUGGGACUUGUAGUUCACCGCUCCGAGCUCUUGCACUUCCGUGGGCCACCGGAAAAGCCGCCAUUUUCCAGGCGCUGGUGGGUCUGGCGCUCCAAUUCCAGCUAGGGUUCGGGUCUUACCUGGAAGGAACGGGGGCAGAAGAAGAAGCCAGACCGACCCGCAGUGACCUGGGCAGCGCCGGCCGAGGGGGCAGGCCCACCUGGGACCGCUGCUGUUGAAGGAGCACCUGAGGGAGCCGAGAGGGAUGCAAACCGGCCGAGGGCUUUCGAACUCCAAGGUCGGGAGGGUCUGGCUGACCUUCUGCAGAGAAGAGCCGAGAUUCCUUUGCGUGGCAUACCCGGCUGGUGUUGGGGUUUCAGGCUGGCACACAAGGUUUCCGGCCCUUUUCUUCUCCAUCAGUUCAUCUUUGGCCCACACACUCCCAAGAGGCGCACGGUGCAGGAGGAGCUAGUGGCCAAGGGCCUCCUGAAAGGGGCACCAGGCGAGGAGGCUCCUGUACCCCAGAGGCUGCCCAGCCCUAGGACACAGCUAUGUUUUCUUCCACUACACCUCCUCCUGGGACUAUGUCCUCUUCACAGCGGCGUCUUCCGAUGGGAGGAGGAAACGGAGACUCUCCUCUAGCCAGGCCCAUCCCAGGUGAGUUGGGGAUGUUCGCUCUCAGGGCCUCGGAUCACGUCCCCUCCUUCCCAGGCCGGCACACCCGCAGCGGCCCUCACAGGCUGGUUCCGCUGUGGCUGCACCCCUGGAUUCCUGCCGGACAAGACCCUCAUGAGGCAUCGGCUCCUUGCACGAGCCUCACUUCUGGGCUUCGUCUCUAGUUCAGACAUUUUGUUUGGUGUCUUUGCUUCGCAUCUCAGAAGCGUCCCGUUGGAGUGUGGUGGUUGCUUGAAAACUGUCUCCUGAUUCAGAGGUGGGGAGAGAAGGCCCCUCACGUCUGCAGGGCUCUGCCACGAGACCUUUGAGUUGGGCGCUGCCCCGGGUCACUGCCCUCAGGUGUUGGCUGCUUCCUGGAGGCCACGGGUCGGUGCCCCUCCAGCCUGAGGGUCUCCGAGGCCAGACCAUUCCAUUCUUGGGGAUGCUCAGUGACUAGGAUGGGACCCCCUGCUGGGCGACGCUGUCUUCAGAGCCGUGCCAGGGCACAUGCCUCAGGGAGGUCGGAGCACGGCCCGGGGUCUGGCCAGUGCGGUGAGAAGCCGAGGUGCCAGCGUGGACGGACUGCAGGGCCGGGGAUCACGGCCCUCGCCUGCCAGCCUGCCUGGAAAGCCAUAAAGGGCCACAUAGUAAGUGUUUUGAGUUUUGUGGGCCACGUACAGCCUCUCUUGUGUAUUUUUUUUCUUUUUUUUACACAUUCUUAUAAAAACAUAAAGUCAUUCAUAGCCUAAUAGAAAAAGAACACAGCUGGCUUUGUCCCGUGAGCCGGAGUUUGCCGGUCCCUGCUUCAGCACUUCCUUUUUGCUGGCUUUGAAUCUGUGGUUUUGAAGAGAAGCUGGGGGUGACCGUCUCCCAGUGGGAAUCCUAUCGUUUCUAGUCCAGAAAUUGGGUUCGUUGGUCGGAUUGGCGGGGUGCUCAGAGAAGUAAAAUCCCGCCCGCUGCACCCUCUGCCUCUGUGUGAUGUUCACCGCCUGGUGUCCGUGUUGCUUGGAGCACAGCCCAGACGCAGACGCCUCGUAGAUGCGCACACGGUGGACACCGUCCACACACACCAGCUCCCUGCCCUGGGCUGCUGCGUGCCCCCACCCUCCAUGCGGGGGCGGCAGGACCCCAGCCGAGCAGUAACGCUGAGAUGGUUCAGGCACCUGUGGCAUUUGAGGAUGUGGCCGUGACCUUCACCCCAGAGGAGUGGGGGCACCUGGAGCCCACCCCGAGGACCCUGUACCGUGACGUGACCCUGGAGGCCUUCGCGCACCUGGUCUCUGGUUUCUGCUUUCCGUGCCGGGCGUGCUCUCCCAACUGGAGCGGGCAGAAUUCCUGAAGCUGGUGCAGCAGGGACCUCCCCAAGUUCUGGAGGCCAGGAGUCCAGAAUCAGUGCUGUUGGGCUGAAGUCAUCGUGCUGCAGAGCCACACUCCUUCCAGGGGCGCUGCGGGAGAAUCGUUCCCUCCUCCUUCCAGCUUCCGGUGGCUGCUGGCACCCUUGGCUUAUGGCCACUUCACAGCCUUGAAGGCCAGCAUCUUCACAUCUCUCUGUCUGUUCUCACAUCAUCUUGUCCUUUCUCUGUAAAAUCUCCCUCAGCUUCUCUUUUGAUAGCAUUUAGGGCCUACCUGGAUAAUCCAGGAUAGUAUUCCCACCUCAAGAUUCUUAAUUUACUCACAUCUGCAAAGUCCCUUUUUCCAAAUAAGUUAACAAUUACAGGUUCCAAAGGUUGGGAUGUGGGAUCUCUUUCAAAGGGCCAUUUCUCAGCCUACUACAUAUCCUAUCUCAGCAAUCUAAGUAUGGUGUGUUGAGUGCUUUAUGCCUUGUAGGUCAAAUUCUUUCAGUGGAUUUCUCCUUUAAUCUUCACCCUCCUGUUUAUCCUUACUCCUAUGCUCUUUUUGAGGAUCAAUCCUCCUAGGUCAUCUUUGCAUUAUUGUUCCCUAUUUUGUACAACUUAUUUCCUGUUUACAGCUUACUUCCUGUUUGCUGAUCCAUGCCUCCUUUUCACAUCCUGCAUGCAUAUUACAUUCCUCAGAUUAAAAACAGUCCACAGACACCUCAUACACUCUGUGGUCACCUUCAUCCCACCAACCCAAUCUUUUUUUUUUU